ACCCUUCCUGUUGAUUUGAGUUGUAUUUCUAGUAUUUCUAGUUGCUAUCGAGUCUGCCGGUGGUGAAGCAGCCCGCACUACAAAUUAUCACCUGCCCUAGUCAAGCAAAGGAGACAUUCAAUACCUGAGAAAGAUUUGCAUCAACUUAUCAAAAGCCGCCACUAGCACAAAGGAUAUUGGUCGUUCCUUCUAUGUUAAUCGAAAGUACGACCCUUACCGAUCGGCCAGCUUCAACAGUUUAUGGAAGCACUGUAGCAAUUCCGCCUAUAGAAUGAAGAAUGGGGAAAGCGACAGGACCUGAAGACAUUGCAGCUGGCCUCUGGAAAGUCAAGUGCUGAAACCUAAUAUCUUGGUUCAAUGAGUUUUUCAAUCGCUUGGUUGGUAAGCAUUGAAUAACAUCUGAUUUGCAGAAUACGAUAUGAUGAUUUGGGAAGGCAUUGUUAACAAACUUAUUCAAGACUAUGUUGAAAUUAUCAUUUACCAAGGCAUGUUUGUCAAGAACUGUGGCAUUCCCUUCUACAUUACUUUUUUUGAUUGAUUUGUUUGACUUUGUGUCACGGAAAUGCAUCCGCAAGAUUCCGCGGGAACAGAUGCUCUCAUGGAAAAGAAGGAAACGACAAGUUGUGCUACAGAAAAUUGAAAAGUAUCUCUGCAUGCAUCCGUAGACACUUUUCUAUAAGCCAACUGAGAAUACAUUUCUCAAGCAAAUUAAUAAAACCGAAAACUAUGUAUAUUUAACUUAAAAUUUAUUAAGAGAAGUUACAAUUUACAAAAUUUACCAAUCAGCUGUGCAUCGCCUCCUUCUUAUGAUUUAUAGUGACUUUUCGGAAAUAGUACCAACCUCGCAGCAAUUAUACUUCUCAGCGUUACUAACGUAAGAUCCACCGUCGGGGCUGACAAGAUGAAACAUUAUGGAAUUAUGUUCUUUUGAGAAAAAUGGGACGGGAACGAAUUUAAUGGAAGGAUCUCUCCCUGAAAUAAAUGCAGGGAAAGAUUCUGCGAAUAAAAUGUCUCCAUACCGUGAAGCUGUGGAUGUUUCCCAGAUUUCAGUUUCCAUAUCGCAAAGCUCUUUCGUCAACUUGCUGAUUACUCGGUCCAACGCAGUUUUGCAUCGCUGAAUAUCAUUUUCCGAUAAAAUCUCCAGAUUUUUCAAAAAGAACUUAUCCUGUUUGACGUAGUAGCC